rnacentral:lncRNA from 1 species
ACUGGAGGGAGUAAAUUAGUAGUAAUAAUAAAUUUCUGAAAAUAAAGGAACACAUAAAAAAGGGAUUCUCUCUCUAGCCUAGGGCUAUCGGCGCAAGUUAAGCAAACGUACGCCGACGGCGGCGGCCAUGGCCAGAGGGCGAGGACGAUCGAAGAAACAAGCUAUUGUAACAGUGGAGAGCUCAGUCAGUGCUAGGGUGAUAGCUGAAACCCUAGAAAAUGGUAGCGAACAACGAGUAAUUACACCUUUGGCAGCCCAAUUUCCAUCUGUCUCCGCUGAUCUCGGCAAACAAUUACACCUUUGGCAGCCCAAUUUUCAUCUCUGUCUCCGCUGAUCUCGGCAAACAAAACGACUACCGGAGCUAAAAAAAUUAAAUUUAAGCGGACCACUGCAGCUGCAAUUGACAGAAAUUAAUGAGCAACAACAAUCAACGCAGCUCAAACAAUCAGAAUUGAGGAAAUCUGAGCAGGCAGCAAAGGGCCAAGCUCCAGAUCCCACUUGGUCUGGGUUAUUCACUCAGAAUCGUGCAACAACUAACGAUAUGUCUCUAGAUUACAUACCACCAAAAUUGGUUGAAGGAAGUCUAAUGGUCAAGCUUGAUAAGGAAGAAACAAAUAGGGAAACUGAUAAAUGAAAGAUUGUUUUAGUAGUAUAUGUGAUAGGUGAAACUCCAGGCUAUAACUAUAUGAAACAAUAUGUGACUCAAAAUUGGAAUAUGGUGACAGAACCUGAGGUGUAUUAUCAUGAAGAAGGCUAUUAUAUUGUUAAAUUCCAAUCGAUAGCAGAUCUGAAUGAAGUACAAUAUGCAGGCCCAUAUAUCAUUAACAACAAAUCUAUGCUAUUUAAAAAAUGAUGCCUAAAGUUUGAUUUUAAUGCUGAGUUCCCUACGGAGUUACCUUUGUGGGUUAUAUUUCCUAGCCUACCUAUGAGUUGCUGGAGCCGAGAUUCUUUGAGCAGGAUAGCAAUGCACUGGCCUUAAUCAACCAAUAUGCUGCAAAGCAUUAAUUGAUAAGCUCUGUUUAUGUUUACUGAUGAGUGUUUGUCCUUUCCUUUUUCUUUAUUUGGGGGUUGGGGUUGGGUGAGGGUUUAUGGGAGUUGUUUGUAAGCCGUAUCAGUAAUUCAGAGAAUGUAAUGCACAUAUUAUAAUGUGAUAAUUUUUGUUGGAUAUUUUGCUUUGCUGUAUUAAAAUUAAUACUUAUUUUGUUUCAUUUUGUGUGACAAUAUUUUAUUUUUUAAUAAGCCAUAUUAAGAAAAUAAAUUAUUUUUUAAUUUGAAAUAAUAUAACUUUGAAUUAUUCAUUUCAUUUUUAA